rnacentral:rRNA from 1 species
UACGGAGGGGGCUAGCGUUGUUCGGAAUUACUGGGCGUAAAGCGCACGUAGGCGGCUUUGUAAGUUAGAGGUGAAAGCCCAGGGCUCAACCCUGGAAUUGCCUUUAAGACUGCAUCGCUUGAACAUCGGAGAGGUAAGUGGAAUUCCGAGUGUAGAGGUGAAAUUCGUAGAUAUUCGGAAGAACACCAGUGGCGAAGGCGACUUACUGGACGAUUGUUGACGCUGAGGUGCGAAAGCGUGGGGAGCGAACGGG